rnacentral:rRNA from 1 species
UACGUAGGGUGCAAGCGUUAAUCGGAAUUACUGGGCGUAAAGCGUGCGCAGGCGGUUUUGUAAGUCUGUCGUGAAAGCCCCGGGCUCAACCUGGGAAUUGCGAUGGAGACUGCAAGGCUUGAAUCUGGCAGAGGGGGGUAGAAUUCCACGUGUAGCAGUGAAAUGCGUAGAGAUGCGGAGGAACACCGAUGGCGAAGGCAGCCCCCUGGGUCGACACUGACGCUCAGGCACGAAAGCGUGGGGAGCAAACAGG